AUUGAACGCUGGCGGCAGGCCUAACACAUGCAAGUCGAGCGGAGCGGCGGACGGGGGAGGAAUGCCUAGGAAUCGGCAUGGUAGUGGGGGAUAACGUCCGGAAACGGGCGCUAAUACCGCAUACUAUCAGAUGAGCCUAGGUAGCAUGAGCUAGUUGGUGGGGUAAAGGCCUAACAAGGCGAAGAUCCGUAACUGGUCUGAGAGGAUGAUCAGUCACCCUGGAACUGAGACACGGUCCAGACUCCUACGGGAGGCAGCAGUGGGGAAUAUUGGACAAUUGGCGAAAGCCUGAUCCAGCCAUGCCGCGUGUGUGAAGAAGGUCUUCGGAUUGUAAAGCACUUUAAGUUGGGAGGCGUUACCAACAGAAUAUGCACCGGCUAACUUCGUGCCAGCAGCCGCGGUAAUAC
rnacentral:rRNA from 1 species